rnacentral:lncRNA from 1 species
AGAUUCCUGGGAGACUCAAAACCCUGUUCAACUCUCUCUGGGCUAGCUGCUCCCCUCCCCAAGAGGAUUUCUCUCCAGAGCUGGUAUCAUCGCUUAAUGAUGUUCCACCAACAAGGGGAAGGUGGCAUCUGUGCUGUGCCUGUCAUUCAUUGAGAACAGUUUGUUUUCUGCUUAUGGAAUCACAAAAAUAUUUAAUCUGAAGCUUCAGUGGUGCAGCCGUCCUUGAGGCUGCAGACCAUAGGAUCCUUCCUUCUCUGUCUGGAUGCACUGGAGGGCCAGCAUUCUCGGAGGUGGCCAGGGUCCUCUGAGAAGCCAGCGCCCAAGUGGUACCUGAGUCCAGUGAACGGCAAGUUUCUUUUCUGGGAGCUGCUAUCACUGAAUACAUAAAGAAAUUGAGCCUAUAUGAUUUCAAUCUUCACCUUCUGAUGCUGAUGAAACAGGAUUCUAUGCAGAGAAAAUCCUCUCCAGUCAAGUAAUUGCAUCCAUUUCAUCUUCCCAGCCCUCCUCUAGAUGGGAGGUGGAGACUUUGAGUAAAGCUGAUCACCUUACGUAAUGUGAGUGGGUCUCGUCCAAUCAACUGAAGGCUUUAAGAGCAAAGACAAAGGUUUUUCAAAGAGAAAAAGAAGACUCUCCUCAAGACUGUGACAUAGAAACUCUGCCUGAAUUUCUAGCCUGCUGCCCUGCAGAAUUUAGAGUCAAGCCUACAACAUAACUCUUACCUGAAUUCUCAGGCUGCUGACUUACCCUGCAGAUUUUGGACUUGCCAGCCCCUCACAAUCCCAUGAGCCAAUUCCUUAAAAUAAAUCUCUCUUUUUCCCUC